rnacentral:misc_RNA from 1 species
UGUCAAUCUUAUCCAGGUUAAAUAAAACCCAUUUGCUUCUCUUUGUAUUUUGUUUACUUUGAGCUUCUUUUUCUAUGGAAUUCCUUUACACUUUUCCAUUUCUAAAAGAAAUUAGAGAUCAAAGAAAAUGUUAAUUGGAAGUCACAUAUCCGUAUGCAUCCAUUAGCUAGAAUCAAUGAAACUGGGAUCAUUGGAAGGGAAAUGAAAAUGCAGUUACUGAUCAUUGAUUGGAAUUGAUCGACUACGCGUUCCUUGAUG